rnacentral:tRNA from 1 species
GCACCAUUAGCUCAGUUGGUAGAGCACCUGACUCUUAAUCAGUGUGUCCGGGGUUCGAGCCCCUGAUGGUGCACCA